AGCAUUAGCAGUUAUCUUAGUUGGGACUAACAGGAUGUCUUUUUGGAUCAUUCUAUUAUCCUACACAAAACUAAAAAUAAUCUAUUAAACUGUGGAGGCCAUCAUGAAUUUUCAAAUCCAGAGCAUUUUAAUUAAUUUCUAUGAGUCCCCCUAAAAAUCACUUGCGCCACCCCAUGCAAAAAUGUCUAGCUCCGUCCCUGAACAAGAGAGUUUUAAUGGCAAAUAACUAAACAAAGAUCCCACUUGACUACAGCAAGACACAAAUUAAUCAGGACAUCAUAAAACUGAAUUCAACGACGUACCAGGUUCACUGAAAAACUGAAAUUCCACCCUGAACAUUAGAAUUUAGUCAAACUAAGUCUAAAAUCUCGUUUCACAAUGGUGCCACUUUGAGGAGCAGUUGCCACACUGAAGAAAACACAAAGUGCAAACAUAAAGCCAUCAGACAACCCGGAGUUAUCCUGAGUGACUGCAGAGCUGACACAGAGGAUGGUGGAUUCUCUCUGCGGCGGCCCUCAGCCUCCUCCACUUCCUUCCAGUCCACUGGUGUUUGAUUUGUUUUCUCUUCUGUCAGAGCAUGGCGCCUUAAAUGGUUUCUGGCCUCAGGCGGCCAGGAAGCAAGGGGCUGUCCACAAACUGUCCCGCGGUUCAUCACACAUCCUGUAGAAUCUGUGACCAGGUGCGUUGUGGAGACAGAGAGCUGGAACUGAUUCGUCUAAUAAGGCAGAAUCUGUUCCUACAAGGACAAAUACUUCAAACCAGGAGAUUCUUUCCGGAGAGGCUGUGACAAGUGCUUCUGUCAUGAGUUUGGUUUCUACUGCUACUCGCCGAUGAAACCGACCUCAUGGCCCAAGAAGUGUCGCCGGGUCCGGACAGAGUGUGGAUAUAAGGUCAUUUAUAAGGAAAGCCCACUGGUGGAGUGCCGUGCCUACAGCUGGAUCAGAUGAUUUCGUGGGUGGAGUUAUCGAAAUGCUUUUAAUAGUCAUCACACAGGAAAGGAAAUAACUUUGAUCAUGUGGAGGACUAAGCAAGACGGGUCGAGUUAUUUUUGUGAUGCAUAAGUUCUACAUGAAAACAGCAGAAAUGAGCGUAUCAGCUGCUGUCGUGUUGAUUUGUGGUGUUUUGGUCACUCAAAAUGUAAAUAUCAUUAGAGCCUGAAAUUUGCACCCUGAACGCUAACAGUGGGUAUUAAACGUGUAAAUACUUUACGUGCAUUUAUGGUGCACAUCUAAACCUUUAUUUACACAUGCAUCUAGCCCCAGACUGGAAACUGCAGAGGUCAAAGCACCGUUUUAACUGCAGUAUACGGUAGUAAACGGUCAAUAACUGUAUGUUAUAGUUCCUGUAUACGAUAUUUGUACUAGUUUCUAUUCCAGGGCUAUUCAGCUAAAUCAC